AGAAGUUGCGUCGAUUCGUGCGUCGAUUUA
rnacentral:antisense_RNA from 1 species